CAGUCGCGUCUGCUGGAAAUCAACCUUGCUUUUGCUGGGUGUACUUCUCAGUAGAUGGGCCAGCAUCAAUUUUGGUUAUCAUAAAAUGGUUGGAGGAAUGUAGCUUCGAUCUCGUAUUGAAGUGUUAUAGCCUUCGGCAGAUGUGAUGAUCGAGAUUGA
rnacentral:rRNA from 1 species